GAGUUCCAUGGGCUGUACAGGACAAGGUGUCACACUCUGCGCAGCACAGGGUGUCACACACAGCCCAGGACAGUGUCACACACUGCAAAACACAGAGUGUCACACACUGCCCAGGACGGUGUCACACACAUUCCAGGACAGUGUCACACACUGCCCAGGACGGUGUCACACACAGCCCAGGACGGUGUCACACACAGCCCAGGACGGUGUCACACACUGCACAGUGUGUCACACACAGCCCAGGAUGGUGUCACACACUGCACAGUGUGUCACACACAGCCCAGGACGGUGUCACACACUGCCCAGGACAGUGUCACACACAGCCCAGCACAGGCAGAGCCCGGGCAGCUCC
rnacentral:lncRNA from 1 species